AUGAAACAAAAUGAUUUGAAUAAAUCAUCAUUAAAGCAGUACGAAGAUGUAAUUGAGGCUCUAAAAAAUAAAGAAUUCGGCCAAACCGUGUUUGAUGUUUUGCAAAACAUAUUUUUAGAAGAAAAAGAAAAUACAAAAUUAAAAUAUGAAAACUUGGUUGACCAAAUUGAAAAAAUAAAAAUAUAUUUUGAUGAAAAAGUUGACGCACUUAAAAAUAACACCCAUGAAAAUUUGGUAGAAAUAAAAUAUUAUUUAGACCAGUUAAAUAAAAACAAUAAAGAAAAUGCAGCUGAAAAUAAUACACUAAAAGACGAUUUUUGUGCUUUACAAGAUGAUAUUCUUAAAUUAAAAAAACAAAAAGAGGAAAACAUAAAUAUCAUGAAGACAAGCAUGAGGACUUAUUUUGAUAAAAUCAAAAAUAUGCUAAAUGUCAUGAACACAAAUGUUGAAAGUAUACAGAAAGAACUUAUAACAUACAAAGAAAAUAAUACAAUUGAAAAUAAAAAAAAAAUAUUGAAAUUUUGCAAAUAAUAAAUGAUGAAAAUGAAAAGUUAAACAAAAGAUUGGAAGAAUCCUUUAACUCUGUAAUUUUAUAUAUACAUACAAACAUCGUUGUGUAUAUACAUAUUUACGUAGAUAUACACAUAUCUAUGUAUUUACAUCUAUACUUAUACAUAUAAAUGCAUACAUUAAUCUACUUAAACACGGUUUUACUUUUUUAAUUUUUUUAAAUUAAGUUAAACAAAGAUAUAAGGGAAAUUAACGAGUAUAUUAGUUGUUUUAAAGAUUCUGUAACAAAUAGUGUGAAAGAUAUAGAGCAAAAAAUAGAAAUAAAUAUAAAAGAAAUUGACA
rnacentral:lncRNA from 1 species